rnacentral:rRNA from 1 species
UACGUAGGUGGCAAGCGUUGUCCGGAUUUACUGGGCGUAAAGAGCGCGCAGGCGGUCGGAUAAGUCGAAUGUGAAAGCCCCCGGCUCAACUGGGGAGGGUCAUUCGAUACUGUUCGACUCGAAGGCAGGAGAGGGAAGUGGAAUUCCCGGUGUAGUGGUGAAAUGCGUAGAUAUCGGGAGGAACACCAGUGGCGAAGGCGACUGCCUGGCCUGUUCUUGACGCUGAGGCGCGGAAGCUAGGGGAGCAAACGGG